CUGAAGCAAUACUUCCUUUUCUUAUCCGUAUCCUUCUGAAGAACUCCAGCGCCAACAGUGAUGUUAACUGUGCCUGAGAGAAUCUUUGCUUUGGCAACAGGCAGGGCAAGCACUCCUAAUAUAGAUGGAUCGGUGAAAGCUGCACAAGAAGCACAGAAACCAGGGAGAACACGACUGAUGUAAUCAACAUUUAAGAGUACUACACUUCAUCAGUGACAUCACUGGAGUGCCAAGGAUGUGCCUUUUGCUGACUUUUCAUCCUUCUGUCAAAAGUCAUGCAAACAGGGGAAUUGGGCUCCAUGAUCCUUAUGUGUCUCUUCCAGCCUGAGAUGUCCAGUGAUUCUGUGAGUGAGUGAGUCUAUGACAUUGCUGGCAGUGGUAAAUCCAGGUACAGCUGAGCCUGUUU